UACGGAGGGGGCUAGCGUUGUUCGGAAUUACUGGGCGUAAAGCGCGCGUAGGCGGACCUGCAAGUCGGGGGGUGAAAGCCCGAGGCUCAACCUCGGAACUGCCUUCGAUACUGCGGGUCUCGAGUCCGGGAGAGGUGAGUGGGAAUUCCUAGUGUAGAGGUGAAAUUCGUAGAUAUUAGGAAGAACACCAGUGGCGAAGGCGGCUCAGCUGGCCCGGUACUGACGCUGAGGCGCGAAAGCGUGGGGAGCAAACAGG
rnacentral:rRNA from 1 species